AUGAUAUGUGAACACGAGUAUCCUUUAUCUAUCGUUGAACAUAGUGGUUUUCGUAGAUUUUGUUCUUCUCUGCAGCCAUUGUUUAAGAUGGUGUGCAGAAAUACUAUUAGGAAUGGUAUUGUGGCUAUGCAUUCUACCCAAAGGGAUAAGAUGGUGAAUUUUUUUGCAACAUUUAAACACCGAGUGGCUGUCACUACGGAUUUGUGGACAGCAGGCUAUCAAAAGAGAGGUUACAUGGCUGUUACCGCUCACUAUAUUGAUCAUACUUGGAAUCUAAAGAGCUUUCUUAUGAGGUUUGCUUAUGUGCCAUGUCCCCAUUCAGCUGAGGUUAUAUGUGAAGCCUUGUAUGAGUGUCUUGUUGAGUGGCACCUUGAGCGGAAGAUCUCCACUGACACUUUGGACAACUGCACAUCAAAUGACAAGGCUAUGGUUAUAUUGCCAGAUAAGUUGGAUACAAGCUCUCUCAUGUUGGAUGGUCAAUUAAUGCAUAUGCGUUGUGCCGCUCACAUAUUAAACUUAAUUGUGAAAGAUGGAAUGAGUGUCUUAGAGCAAGGUAUAGAGAGGUUGUGUGAUAGUGUUGCAUUUUGGUCAACCACACCUAAAAGGCAUGAGAAGUUUGAAAAGAUGGCAAAAACUUUGAACAUAGAGUAUAACAAAAGGUUAAAUCUUGAUUGUAAGACUAGAUGGAAUUCAACUUAUACAAUGAUUAGCAUUGCACUACAGUACAUGGAGAUAUUUGAAAAAUUAAAGCCACAGGAAAAGAAAUUUAAGUGUUGCCCAACCAAAGAUGAUUGGGAGUUUGCAAAAGAAAUAUGUGAUAGGCUGAAGCUCUUCUUUGAUAUCACCGAGUCAUUCUCAGGCACCAAGUAUGUCACAGCAAAUAUAUUUUUUCCCUAA
rnacentral:rRNA from 1 species